GGCUGUGAGUGGCUCGUGAUUUUGUGCCCAGCCAGACUGCGGCAUGUAUCUAUUAAAUAUUCAGCAUGGACUAAAACAUGAAAAAGUUCUGAAAAUACUUUCAAUAUCCAAAAUAACAUUAACUUUCAUACUUUUGAAUUUUAUUGUGUCUAGUAACCAGUUAUUUCUAAAAUCAUUAAGCCUUGCUAAUAUUUUCUGUAUACCUAAGAAUAGUAUCAACAGAAUUCAUUUUCUAAGAGCUGAGAAAAGGAAUGAAAGAUUAGUGAAAUUGGAAUUCACAGAAAGAUGUGUGUGUACACACACACACACACACACACACACACUUCUCACUUCAACUCAAGUCAGCAUUGGCCUAAGUUUUUGCCUGUGGAGGGAGAAUAGAGAUAUAUUUUUUGAAAGUGUGCUUCAUCUAAAAUUGGCUGGUUCUACCAUCUAGACAUAACACAUUAUACUAAAAAGAAUGACUAGUAACCUUUGAGAGAUAUGUGAGUGCUUUGAAAUAGUUAUUAUAUGAAAAUACAGUGUUUUGAGCUUCUUUAAUGUUUUUUUUUAAAUUAUAGAUCUGUGAGCCAUAGUUUUAACAUUUCAGUUUCCACGUUGGAAUUUAGAUCUCUUGAACUUCUGUUCCAAGAACUUUAAGUCUCAUUUAAAGGUAAAGAUUUCCAAAGGCAUUUGUAUCAGAGAGUCUCACUAUGUUGCCAAGGCUGGCCUCAAACUUGAAAUCUUGCUGCCUCAGCUCCUGAGUCAUUUGGAUUACAGACCCAGAGCAAUGGACUUCACUGACCAUGGACUGAACGCCUAAAACCAUGAUCCCAAAGUAAUCAUUUCCUCCUGUACGUUGACACUCAUCAGCACUGUAUCCUCAACACCAAGAACUGGUUCAGAGGAAGUCCUCAAUCAAGAUGUGUUGAAUCAACAAAAUUUCAUUAUAUAUUUGGAAUGACUUAAAGUAAUGAGAUUCCUUGAUAAUGGCCAAAUACAAGCAUCUAUAUUAAACUUGUGAUUACAGUACUCUCCAAGAUGUGUGCAGGGAUCUAUCACUUUCAGCACCCACACACUUGGUUUAGUACUUAUAAUUUCUUUCUUUACAAUUAUAGAGUGUUUUUCAGUACACUAGCAAUUUAUGUUUUUCUCUCAAACUUCCCUAACACAGUAAAACCUAAAUAAAUUCAAAACACCAUAUUUGGAAACAAUUAGUUUUUCCUUCUUAUAUUUUCCAUUCUUGUCUACAAAUAAAUAAGUAAGUAAACAAGUAUGUAAAUAGGAACUACCAGUUUCCUACAUGAAAACUGUAGGAGAUAUAUAUUAUUUUCUUUAUCUAAAAAAAAAAAAGUAAUGUUCAUUGAUCUUGUAUUGGGUGAUAAUAAGUCAUGUGCUGGGAAAACAGUGACUUGUUACAGAAAUGCUGGAUUUAAUUAGGACCCAGAUUCUCAUUAAAGCAAAUUGUAAUCCAGCAGGUGAGACAGAAAUAUAAAGAACAGACAAUGAUAAAAUUUGAUAAAAACUACAACAGAGUAUUCAAACAAAUGUUUGGAAAUAACGGGUUAAUUCAAACACCUAAUGGUUGACUCUUCUGUGUGAGCAGGCUCACUGGUAUCACUAAACACAAUCUCUAUUCCACAAAUUUCUAUUCUGCUAUUUUGUAAUUUGUAAUUAAGGAGUUCCUACUAACAACCAAAUAAAGAAGAAACAGUAGGUUUGUAUGUGAUAAUAAUUGUUUGAUUUGCUUUGGAACAUUCUAGGUAAAUUAUAUGUUUUAAGUGAAAAAAAAUUAACUCCACUUAUGAAAUCACUAUAAAUUAUGAUUAGAUCUUAUAUAGAUGAGUUGAUAAACCCAUACGAUUCUAAUCUGCUAUUAAAAUUACCAUAAAACAUGUGAUGAGUCAUUAGACAUAAAGUAUUGAAGCACUCAGGUCAAUGACUUUGAUAAAUGUGUACCAUGCAUGUACCAUGUGAAUAAAAAGACUUACUGUCCUACCCUUCCUGCCUAAGUAGAGUUUCAUUCCAUUUCCCCAGAGGUAAGAUAUUGAAAAAUCACUUCUGGGUCUUCCCUCUACUCAUUCAUUGUACAAACCACAGCAUAAGAAAUAACUUAUGUUGGUAGAAAGGACUGGAAAGUAUGCAUAACUCUGGACUUUCAUUCUGAGGCUCUCUUUUUCUCUGCCUUCCCCUCUUGACUUGUUUUCCUUAAGGAGUAUAAGCCCUCUCUUUUCUUAUCCUCUAUAUAAGAAGGGAAAGAGAAAGAAGCCACUUUAAAAAGAGGUAAAUUUGUGUGUCAAGUUACAGCAAGUCUCAUCUGGUCUUAAGUCUGAAGUGUGCCUCUUAGUCCAAUUGGAUGUUCUCAGUUCCUCCUAUAUUUCUCAUAGUUGUUUCUGAAUUCAGAAAGAAUGAAAUUACUAUUUAUCAUCUCAAAUACCAAUACACUUUUAUUUGCAAACAACUGUGUUGAACAGAACAGUGGAUACAAUAGUUAAUACACUCUCUACCUUCUCCAAGUUUUUGAUAUAAACAGGGAUAUGAUUAUUACCCAAGGUUUACCCAAGAGUUACAAUAUCAGGUUACCGAGGUCUAAGAACACAGAAUAUGGGCAAUGACAGAGACUGUGAGUUGCUUGGUUCCACUUCCAAUCUCCCCCAUUAAAACACUGUCAGAAAUGAAGUUUACAUUUCCCAGUUGACAUUAAAUUGGUGGCAUCCUUUGAUUGGACACAUUCUGGCAAAUAGAUUGAAAGUCAAAGUAUUAUGUGGAAGCUUUCCUAGGUAAUUUAAGAGAGAAUGUGUCUUUGUCCUCCCUCUUUUCUUUACCCUGCUGGUGUAGGAUGUGUAUUCUAUAAGUAGAGGCCUAUUUUGGUCUUCAAGGACAUGAGUCACACCCUGGUUUUGGUAAACCAGGAAACUUGGGUUCCCCAUGAGUGAAACUCAUCAUUCCAAACCUAGAAAUUUCUCAUAUUAGGAAUUUCAAAUGUCUAUGAUUUAUUUUAUUUUUUAAUAUUUAUUUUUUAGUUUUCAGCAGACACAACAUAUUUGUUUGUAUGUGGUGCUGAGGAUCGAACCCGGGCCGCACGCAUGCCAGGCGAGCGUGCUACCACUUGAGCCACAUCCCCAGCCCUAAAUGUCUAUGUUUUAAAAAUAUUAUUUCUACUAUCUCUUCUAUAUACAAACCGGCCUUUAGAAAAUCAGUUAAGAAGCAAAGGAAAGCUUUUCAGAGGUUGAUGGCACAUGAGAUAACUUUAUAAGGAUGAGUACUAAUUAAAUAUGAUUCCAAACUACAGGGUACAGAGUUUUGAGAUUAAGGGAGAAGCAUGUGUUAGAAAGCAAAGAGGAUGUUUAGAAAUUCUAGAAAAUAAAAAUCAUCUUGGUUUGUGGGAGUGAGCAUAUAGGAAACAGGCCAAAGUCUAGAGGACCUUGAAGCCAGAAUGAAAAUAAUAGGUAAUUGAAUAAAUAGAGACUGUCACAGGCUUUUGGACCAGAGAGAUAUAAUUGUUCUGUACUUUAAGAAGAUAAGGAUUGAGAGAAUAAGUAGGUGGGUCGGGAAAGCGAGACUCAGCAGAACUGUGAUAAACACCUAGAAGCUGAUAGACUAUGCCAAGGGAAUAAGGCUUUUACUUUGAUAACUUCUGAAAUUACCAAGUAUGUUGGAAAGGCUUUCCAUUCUAAUAUCUCCAAAUCAUCAUAUCCACCCAUUGUUUAAAUCAUUACAAUUUUGUUCCAGCAUGAUACUGUAACUCCUUCUAUUGAAGUUCCAUUGAUGAAAGAUAAUUAUUAACGGGUCUUUUCUCUGUAUCAAACUAUAGGUCCUUCUGCAGCAUUUGACAUUGCUAAACCCCUUAAACUAGUUUCAACUUCAUCAGAGACCUGGAAGGUAAUCUCUCCUAGGAAUUUUAGCCAUUUUUCUUCUGAUCCUGUAUUAGUCAGUUCUCAAAAAAACAGCAGCAGGAAAAACAACAACAACAACAACAAAAGCCACCCCCCCAAAAAAAAAAUAGGGUAUGUGCAUGUAGAGAAAGAGAAGUUGAAUUUAAGGAAUUGGCUUAUACUGUUGUAAGGCCUGGAAAGAUUGUAAUCUGCAGGGGAUACAUGCAGCUUAAGACUCAGGAAAGAGCUGAUAUCAAAGAUUGAGUUGAAAGACAGUGUAGAAGUUGAGUUCUCUCUUCCCUAGGUAACAUGUCUGUUUUCUCUUAAGGCAUUAGACUGAUUGGAUGCAAUCCACUUACAUUAAGAAAAAUAAUCUUCUUUACCUAAAUUCUGUGUACGUAGAUGUUAAUGUAAUCUAAAUAUACCUUCACAGAGACAUGUAUAGUGGUUUUACAGAAUAUCUGGGUACUGUCGCCUAGGCAAUUUGUUAUAAACUUAACCAUCACAGACUACUUCAAUAUAUGUUUUUACCCACCAUUCGAAAUUGUUUUUCUCAGCAUUUACUUUUUCCCUGGUUAUCUUUGUGACCUAAAUAGUACUUUUUAUUUGGUCACCACAUAUGGAAGAUUCAUUGUUAUGGUUUAGAUGUGAGGUAUCCCCCAAAAGCUCAUGUGUGAGACAAUACAAGAAGAUUUUGAGAAGAAUGAUUGGGUAGAAGAGUCUUAACCUAAUCAGUUCAUUAAUUCCCUGAUAGGGAUUAACUGAGUGGUAACUGAAAGUAGAUAAGGUAUAGCUGGAGGAGGUGGGUCAUUGGGGGCAUGUCUUAGGGGGUAUAUAUUUUGUCUUUGUUGAGCACAGUUUUUCUGUUUUCUGGUUCCAUGUCCCAAGCUGCUGUCCUCCACCACAUACUUCUAUCACACUGUUCUGCCUCACCUCAUGUCCCAAGGACAGAGCCAGCUGUCUAUGGACUGAGACCUCUGAAACCAUGAGCUCCAAAUUAAAAUUUUCCUCCUCUAAUUAUUCUUGUUAGGUCUUUUGGUCACAGCAGCAAAAAUGCUGACUAAAACUUUCUCAAAUCUAGUACUUUAAAAUUGACUUCUUUGUUAUAGGCAUUGAAGGGAGAGUUGAAGAAGUGAAUGAUAUGAGUAUAGAGAGGUGAGGAUAUCCAAGAAAAGUAUUGAAGAUGUUGCAGUGCAUUUGAAACAAAUCACCAGGUCACACUUGAAGGAGGACAUGGAACUUUAUUUGCCAGUGGGCUGAAGGGCAGUGACCAAAUCAACUCUGCACCUUCAACCCCUAUGAGGAGUUAGAGCACACCUUUUGUAGCCAAAAACCACAAGCAAAUGUUAUACUUUUUGAAAGCAAAGUUGGUAAAAAUGACCCAAGUCUGGGUACAAUGCACAAGAAAAAAGAAACUAUGAAUGGAACAUCUCACAAAAAUAUUCCUUAAUAAUACAUUAUGUAAGAAUAAAAGAAAUAUUUUUCAGCAGAUAUGAGUUGCCAAACAGGGUGUGCUUAGCAGGAGGUGGGUUACAGAGGCAGAAUUUUCACAAAGGAGAAACAUUUCUUACAUAAAAUGGAGUCUCGGGGUAAAAUGGAGUUUGUCUGGUCAAAGUUCAUAACAGAAAGAGAAGCUAGAUUUGGAGAAAUGGAGAGUAAAAAUAGUCACUUUGGAUGAGAAGAGAACAGAAUCAAGGCUGAGUCAGGUAUUGAGACUGACUAGCUGAUUAUCACAUUGCUGAGGAUGGUCUCAGCACUCACAAAUGGAUUGAAAACCUCAGUGAAAGUAAAGUCAAUGAGAUUUAGUGCCUAGAAGAUAAUUGGGCUCUCAUUAGAAAAGGCAUAGGGGUUCAUUGAAAUGAAGAUGGAAAUUUA